rnacentral:tRNA from 1 species
GGCUCACCGACUGACUACCACGAUCCACACAUCGUGUUACGUGAGCACCGGACUUCCAAUCCGAUGGUCGCAGGGUCGAAUCCUGCC